AUGUUAUUUAGUUUGGGUGGAGACUACGGGAAAGAGGAGUGUUGUCUAGAACUGUGUCUAUGGCCACUCUUCCCGUUUGACCCUGGUGCCAAAUAUAGAAAUGGUGAUUUUGGUGCACCUAACUUGUUACUUGGUCUACAUGACAAGCAAAGUGUCACUCCUGGUGACUCCCAUAAACAAAUCCUUCGUACAUCUUUCAUUGAAUUUUUAAUAUUU
rnacentral:lncRNA from 1 species